AACGCGAAGAACCUUACCUGGGUUUGACAUCUCCUGACAGCCGUAGAGAUACGGUUUCUUACGCAAGUAAGCAGGAAGACAGGUGCUGCAUGGCUGUCGUCAGCUCGUGUGGUGACAUGUUGGGUUAAGUCCCGCAACGAGCGCAACCCUUGUCCUUAGUUGCCAGCAUUCAGUUGGGCUCUCUAAGGAGACUGCCGUGGUGAACACGGAGGAAGGUGGGGAUGACGUCAAGUCCUCAUGGCCUUUAUAUCCAGGGCGACACACGUGAUACAAUGGACGGUACAGAGGGAAGCGAAGGAGCGAUCUGGAGCCAAUCUCAAAAAGCCGUUCUCAGUUCGGAUUGGAGUCUGCAAUUCGACUCCAUGAAGUUGGAAUCGCUAGUAAUCGCGGAUCAGCACGCCGCGGUGAAUACGUUCCCGGGCCUUGUACACACCGCAUAC
rnacentral:rRNA from 1 species